UUGCUCUUCAACGAGGAAUGCCUAGUAAGCGCAUGUCAUCAGCAUGCGUUGAUUACGUCCCUGCCCUUUGUACACACCGCCCGUCGCUACUACCGAUUGAAUGGCUCAGUGAGGCCCUCGGACUGGCUUGAGGAGGUUGGCAACGACCACCUUGAGCCGGAAAGUUCGUCAAACUCGGUCAUUUAGAGGAAGUAAAAGUCGUAACAAGGUUUCCGUAGGUGAACCUGCGGAAGGAUCAUUACCGAGAGUUGUAGGCUUCUGUCUACCAUCUCUUACCCAUGUCUUUUGCGUACUACACGUUUCCUCGGCAGGUCCGCCUGCCGCUAGGACAAAAUUAAACCAUUUGCAGUUGCAGUCAGCGUCUGAAAAAUUUAAUAAUUACAACUUUCAACAACGGAUCUCUUGGUUCUGGCAUCGAUGAAGAACGCAGCGAAAUGCGAUAAGUAGUGUGAAUUGCAGAAUUCAGUGAAUCAUCGAAUCUUUGAACGCACAUUGCGCCCCUUGGUAUUCCAUGGGGCAUGCCUGUUUGAGUGCCAUGUAGACUUAACCCCCCGGGUUUAUGAUCGGGAAGGGUUGGAUGUGGGCGCUGCCGAUUGCCGGCUCGCCUUAAAUGUCUUAGCGGCUCAGAAGCCCCGACCUAGCGUAGUAAGUUUCGCUGGAGAGGGUGUGGAUGACUGCUCACAACCGCCUUUGGGCAACUUUUUGACUCUGGCCUCAAAUCAGGUAGGACUACCCGCUGAACUUAAGCAUAUCAAUAAGCGGAGGA
rnacentral:rRNA from 1 species